rnacentral:ncRNA from 1 species
UAAAAGGCUAUGAAAAGACGAGUAGAUUAGUUAAGUCUUGCAGUGAGCUAGUGCCAGUGAAAAACUAGCAGAUCCUGGCUAAUCGAAAAACACUUUGAGCAUGCUAGCUGAACCAUUUAGAUGUAGUAAGCGAGGCCGUCGUCGGUACGUUAUCACGCCGAAAUGCAUAAUUGUGCAUUAUGAGUUGGUCUUUAAUCAAGACAAUUUGGGUGGUACCGCGGAAAAAGCCUUUCGUCCCGAUC